CCUACGGGGGGCUGCAGUGGGGAAUAUUGGACAAUGGGGGCAACCCUGAUCCAGCCAUGCCGCGUGUGUGAAGAAGGCCCUCGGGUUGUAAAGCACUUUCAGUGAGGAAGAACGCCUGGUGGUUAAUACCCAUCAGGAAAGACAUCACUCACAGAAGAAGCACCGGCUAACUCCGUGCCAGCAGCCGCGGUAAUACGGAGGGUGCGAGCGUUAAUCGGAAUUACUGGGCGUAAAGCGCGCGUAGGUGGCUUGAUAAGCCGGUUGUGAAAGCCCCGGGCUCAACCUGGGAACGGCAUCCGGAACUGUCAAGCUAGAGUGCAGGAGAGGAAGGUAGAAUUCCCGGUGUAGCGGUGAAAUGCGUAGAGAUCGGGAGGAAUACCAGUGGCGAAGGCGGCCUUCUGGACUGACACUGACACUGAGGUGCGAAGGCGUGGGUAGCAAACAGGAUUAGAUACCCUAGUAGUC
rnacentral:rRNA from 1 species